rnacentral:lncRNA from 1 species
AUAGGCCUACUGAAGUAGCCAGGCAAUAACGGUCAUAGCAGACAUGAUAAUUUAACUGAUAACAGCAGGUUAUCCAAUAUGGUUCCUGUAGAUUAAGGUAAUUUAUAAUAAAAUGUGAAGACAAUUUGUAGUUAAAUCAUAGAUGGUAAUUAAACCGUAAAUCUAAUUUAUAUGUUCUGUGUAGUAUGUCCCCCUUAAACCUGUCAAUUACCAUUACAAAUCAACUUGCGUAUUGUAAAUAAUAGUAGUAAAACAGCAUAUUAAAAAAAAAAAAAACGUUUUAAGGUUAGAACCGUUUUGACUCCUCCCUCCCUUGCCUCACAGAUGUUUGGUUCACUGCCUGCUUUACCGCUUUACCUAUGGUCAUUACACACGAGUCCGUUGCUUUGGUGGGAGAGAACAGAGUGCUUCAGUAGUUGUGCACCUGAGGCUGUCAGGAUUUCCUCAGCCAUCUUCCUACGUAGUGCCUCCAUAUUGGUCACAGAAGUAUUGAUGUCCAACUGGGAUGGAACUUUUGGGAAACUAGAGACAACCUCCUUUGCCAUUUUUGAACAAUAGUUGUAGUGAAAUGAAGGAAAUAAUUAUAUUUAGUGUCUCAACUUUAAUGCUUACCAUUUGAGCAGAAAAUACCUGCAUGACAAGUACUCCACAGCUAUGUGAAUCCUGCUGCCUUGUGUGCGUAAUUGUGGCCCCUCUCCACUUAAUGUCCAUCCACUCUUUUUUGCUAUGGCGAACGAACCUCAUUCUGAAGUAUUGACUUGUAUGACAAAUAAAUAUAUGACAGUUAGGGGUAAUACAGUUAAAGUAAUUAAGAGUAACUAGAUCUGGCCAUAAUGCUUUUAUUUUAGCAGUUUUGUUUUUACCGAAAUCUGACUGCAGCUUGCUUAGAGUCCUCCUCCUCAUCAAUUCCUUGUGGAUCUAUAAGGAAAACUUUACUGGAAGAUGCAUGUAGAUACUAGAAGAAAAAAAAAACACUAUUUAAAACUACAGUUCAGCUUUGAUCACAUAACUAUGAAGAAGGACUAUUUUGAAAGCUUUCACCAAAAACUUCCAGUGGUUUCCAUGUACAUUUAUGAAACUGAUAAGUGCUUGAUAUUUUCCAUAGUCCACCUGAAAUGUAGAUAUUGUAACAUUAUUAAAUAUUUUUAAACAUGGUUUCAUAUCUUCAAUGUACAACAAUAGAAAUACCUUUGGCAGACUCCGCUGACACACAUCAUCUCGGUUUCCAGACAGAAUCACACCAGCAGAAAAAUGAUUCAUGAGGUAAAUGCUACCAUCUUUACCCAUUUUAUUUAAUAAGGUUUGCAAGUAACAUUCUAUUACCGUAAUGAAAAAGCACAUUUAAAUAAGAAAUACACAAAACAUGCCUAUUACACAAAAAGGUAACAAUAUUACUGGUGUGCUUUGGCAAUUUAUAUCAUGCAAGUUUGAAAUGCUAAUAGCUCAUGAAUAUUCUUGCCUCUCCCAUGAGCCACUUGUGAGGUUGCAGAGUUUUGAACUCUGAGUGAUGGAGGGUGUACCUAGCCUUUUUUGCUGCUGAUGGUACAACAGCAACCACCACUUCACAAUCGUUUUUGCUCCAAAGGUACUGAAUCUGCAAGUAAUCAUUUUAUUGUAAGUAAAAUUAUUGAAAUUAUUUGUAUAAAUGUAUAUUAAUAUGAUCUACUACCUCUUCUGUUGUGUCUUCAGCAGUAUGUUCUGUGUUAUCUGGCUCAGUAUUGUACUCUGGUUCGGGUUUGUGUUUUGUUUUUGACAGGUCCAUUGCUGUGUCUGGAAUCAUCUGGAUGGUAUUGGUGCUGAUCUGUGUAACUUCUGGACUUUGUGAUGGCUGUGGCAGUACUUCAGGUGGGUCAAAGUAUUUUGUUUUAUGUCUGUCCUUGUCCUUUCUUGAUGUUUUCUGUGCCCAUUCUUCUUUCUGGCUGAAGAACUUUUCUUUAGGUUCUGGAUCACGGUAAGGCAGUAACAGAUUGUUGUUAAUUAUGUGUUCUUUGUAUCUGCCUUGGAGAGAUCCAUACAUGUUCUGUAUGAAGUCAGCAGGACGCAGGUACUUCUUCUUUUUAAGGAUGCUGUGUUUAACAAUCCAAAACCACUGUUCCACAUGACAGUUACUUUCCCUUGUUUUGGAUUGUUGGCUGACUGUAGCUGUGCUGAUUUCAGAAAACCGGCUAAGAUCCCCAAGAAGAACUCCACUCCACAGCGGGAAGAUACUCAUGUAGUUGUUCAUGAGGAAGUCGACGAGCUCUGGACAGAAAAAGGUAUUUUUUCCCCCUGUCUUGCUACUGAAGUGGAGGCUCUUGGCUCUGUUCAAAACUGCAGUGAACAGUGAUGUAAAUGGUGAUCUGCCACACACUGAAGUUACAUUUUCAUCUGUUUCUGUUGCCUCUGGUAUCGUUUGUGCCUCAUAAAGGUUAAUUGUGCUCUUCAUUAUUUUUAGAUCCAGGGCAGUUUUGGCUGCAUUCACCACGUCGGUCUCCUCUUCUGAUGUGAAAAGAACAGCCAUAUCUUCAAAUACAGCUGUUGCCUCUUCUAGAUGUGUGCUGUUUAACAACAAGGCAAAGCAGUAGGUGGCAUACUCCUUUAAAGCCUUGUUGUCAGUCUUUUUUGAAAAUGCCUGACACACUGCCUUAACAAUAUGUGAAGAGCAAAGAUGUAAGACUGUAAAUUGAAGAUCACCACUGUUUGCCUUGUUCAAAACAAUGCGGUGGGCUCGUUGUAAAUACAGCAAAAUGCUUUCUUUGUUGAAUGCCAGAAGGACACUUGAAAUUAGUCCCCAACUGAAGUCCGUCUCCACUUGAUGGACAUGGCAUGAUGUUAUUUGACCAAGAGCCCUUAAUGUUUGCAUCAGCCAGUAUGUCAAGGUUGGAAUUGAGUGCUGAUUUGAUACAAGCUCACUAACUGGUAGUGGCGGCAUGUUUUUGCCCAUUCCUGGCAGUACAAGUGCAUAGUAGAGCACUCUUUUGGGCUGACUGGUAAUGCGGGAGAUAACGCUACCUGUGGCAUCCAGGUGAAGUGUUACUGGUUUUUUUUUUUUAAGAUGCUG